AAUUCUACACAAUUUUUAUGUGAGUUGUGAGUGAGUGUUCACCUCCAAAAUUGGUCUUUUCUUGUGAGAUAUGAAGCUCUCAAGUGGCGGCCUCCUUUUCACUCAUCUUGGUGAUUCCACCCCAUCAAGUGGUGUGAUACAUCCUUGUUUCACCAUCCAUAAGUUCUUAUUUCAUCAUCUCUUCCAUUUAUCCAUUUCCAUUUCAUUUUAUCAUAAACAUGUUCUUAGUUUUGUCUCUUUGAAUUACAUUCGGUCCAUUCUUUGUUCUUAUAUUGUUUGUUCAAUUUCCGCACCAUAUUUGUCAUCAUAUUCACCAAUUAAUUGUGUUUUCCUUUUGCCUUUUGUGAAAUGAACCUUCACAUCUACUUAACCACUUGGUUAAGUUAAUGUCCAAUGGGGAUUUUCCUUAGGUUUUCACUCGUAAUUGCUAAACAAUCUCAAUCUUAAAACUAAAGUGUCACCUAAAUGAACAAUCCUAAAAUCAACUCACAUCACCACGUGUGCAAACCAAUGCCACUGUGUGCGCCACGUUAUUAUAUUAUCUUUUAACAAAAAGAAAUUUUGUUUUGGUGGUUCUAUUACAUGUAUAAAUGAGUUAUUUUUUGAACUUUUGGAGUUUAAUGUCUAAAUCAUUGUAGUUAGAAUCGUUCGAAUAACACUGUUUGAAUUGUGAUUCGUUUAAAAAAUCCUUAUCCAUGAUACAUGUCAAUGGAUUAUAACUCGAAUCAAUUCAAAUCCAUCGCACACAAUUUCCAGAAUGUGUGCGUUUAGUAAAUGAAACAAAUCAACAUGCACAAAAAAAAUGAAAAUGGGUGACUGGAACGAUGCAAAAUUUGAUUGGAAGGAACUAGCAAUAUAUAAAGAAGGGUGAAAAGAAAGAAAAGAAGAAAAACAAACAAGAGGUUACUUUAUGAGGCUUAUGGAGAAGAAACUCGUUGAAGAAAGGCUUAUAGACAAGCGGCUCUGUGGAAAAGAGAGGUUAUGUGUGCAGAAAAGGAUUUAGGCACAAAGCUCUGUGGAGGAGGAAGAAUAUUUAGGAUACAAGGGUAAUUUAUCAAGUUUGUAAUCUAGCUAUUUGGAAAGGAUGUCGUCUAGAAAAUCAAGUUAGUCUUAUAAUAUAAUAUUACCUUUUGAUCCUUUACAUACAC
rnacentral:lncRNA from 1 species